UGGCGGCAGGCCUAACACAUGCAAGUCGAACGGUAACAGGAAGCAGCUUGCUGCUUUGCUGACGAGUGGCGGACGGGUGAGUAAUGUCUGGGAAACUGCCUGAUGGAGGGGGAUAACUACUGGAAACGGUAGCUAAUACCGCAUAACGUCGCAAGACCAAAGAGGGGGACCUUAGGGCCUCUUGCCAUCGGAUGUGCCCAGAUGGGAUUAGCUAGUAGGUGGGGUAACGGCUCACCUAGGCGACGAUCCCUAGCUGGUCUGAGAGGAUGACCAGCCACACUGGAACUGAGACACGGUCCAGACUCCUACGGGAGGCAGCAGUGGGGAAUAUUGCACAAUGGGCGCAAGCCUGAUGCAGCCAUGCCGCGUGUAUGAAGAAGGCCUUCGGGUUGUAAAGUACUUUCAGCGGGGAGGAAGGGAGUAAAGUUAAUACCUUUGCUCAUUGACGUUACCCGCAGAAGAAGCACCGGCUAACUCCGUGCCAGCAGCCGCGGUAAUACGGAGGGUGCAAGCGUUAAUCGGAAUUACUGGGCGUAAAGCGCACGCAGGCGGUUUGUUAAGUCAGAUGUGAAAUCCCCGGGCUCAACCUGGGAACUGCAUCUGAUACUGGCAAGCUUGAGUCUCGUAGAGGGGGGUAGAAUUCCAGGUGUAGCGGUGAAAUGCGUAGAGAUCUGGAGGAAUACCGGUGGCGAAGGCGGCCCCCUGGACGAAGACUGACGCUCAGGUGCGAAAGCGUGGGGAGCAAACAGGAUUAGAUACCCUGGUAGUCCACGCCGUAAACGAUGUCGACUUGGAGGUUGUGCCCUUGAGGCGUGGCUUCCGGAGCUAACGCGUUAAGUCGACCGCCUGGGGAGUACGGCCGCAAGGUUAAAACUCAAAUGAAUUGACGGGGGCCCGCACAAGCGGUGGAGCAUGUGGUUUAAUUCGAUGCAACGCGAAGAACCUUACCUGGUCUUGACAUCCACGGAAGUUUUCAGAGAUGAGAAUGUGCCUUCGGGAACCGUGAGACAGGUGCUGCAUGGCUGUCGUCAGCUCGUGUUGUGAAAUGUUGGGUUAA
rnacentral:rRNA from 1 species